GUUCAAGCCGCCGCGGUAAUACGGAGGAUCCAAGCGUUAUCCGGAAUCAUUGGGUUUAAAGGGUCCGUAGGCGGUUUUGUAAGUCAGUGGUGAAAGCCCAUCGCUCAACGGUGGAACGGCCAUUGAUACUGCAAGACUUGAAUUAUUGGGAAGCAACUAGAAUAUGUAGUGUAGCGGUGAAAUGCUUAGAGAUUACAUGGAAUACCAAUUGCGAAGGCAGGUUGCUACCAAUACAUUGACGCUGAUGGACGAAAGCGUGGGGAGCGAACAGGAUUAGAUACCCUCGUAGUCC
rnacentral:rRNA from 1 species